UCAUAAUCCACGCCAUGGGGAGGAAUAAAGCCUGACAGGGACAGGAGAGACAGGGCUGGGCCUCCACGGCGCCAUGCCAGCACUAACCAGGAGAGCGAGGGCCAGCUCAAGGACCCACGCCCCACCACCCCGCUUCAGUGCUGUGCUGUUGUAUCCCUGGGGGCAGAGGAGGCUUCAAGUUGUUUUCUCCACUUACCAGCUGGAUGACUUAUGAUUGGCCCUGAGCUGACAUCUGCCACCAAUCCUCCUCCCUUUGCUGAGGAAGACCAGCUGGGGCCAGCAUCUGCAGCCAUCGUCCUCUACUCAUAUGUGGGACGAUCAUCACAGCAUGGCCCGACAAGCAGCACUGAACAGGAUCCACACUGAGGGAACUACACAUGCAAAUUAUCAUUAGCAUGAAAACGGG
rnacentral:lncRNA from 1 species